rnacentral:rRNA from 1 species
GUGUCAGCCGCCGCGGUAAUACGUAGGUGGCGAGCGUUGUCCGGAUUUACUGGGUGUAAAGGGCGUGUAGGCGGGCAGGUAAGUUGGGUGUGAAAUACUGCGGCUCAACCGCAGGGUUGCAUUCAAAACUACCAGUCUUGAGUGCCGGAGAGGGAAGCGGAAUUCCUAGUGUAGCGGUGAAAUGCGUAGAUAUUAGGAGGAACACCAGUGGCGAAGGCGGCUUCCUGGACGGUAACUGACGCUGAGGCGCGAAAGCGUGGGGAGCAAACAGGAUUAGAUACCCUGGUAGUCCACGCCGUAAACGAUGGAUACUAGGUGUGGGAGGUAUCGACCCCUUCCGUGCCGGAGUUAACACAAUAAGUAUCCCACCUGGGGAGUACGGCCGCAAGGUUGAAACUUAAAUAAAUUGACGG